rnacentral:lncRNA from 1 species
CGGCCAUGGCAGUUGCGGAGAAAUAGUUAAACAUUUCCUGUAGCAGCUUAGGACAGUACAGUUUGUGAGUUAACAGAUCAGGGUGAGCCUCAGUGUUUCCUGGUGUACUGUACUCAUCCGCCAACUUAGGACAGCUGUUUAGUGAUCGCAGAGGUGCAACACCCGUUUCAGAGCCAUUUACAUCAUUUAGUGAGGAUUCCUGUGUCUGACAGUACUGAACCUGAGGAAUUUCACACAUUUUUGAGCAGAGACCAGAGUUAAACAUUUCCUGUAGCAGCUUAGGACAGUACAGUUUGUGAGUUAACAGAUCAGGGUGAGCCUCAGUGUUUCCUGGUGUACUGUACUCAUCCGCCAACUUAGGACAGCUGUUUAGUGAUCGCAGAGGUGCAACACCCGUUUCAGAGCCAUUUACAUCAUUUAGUGAGGAUUCCUGUGUCUGACAGUACUGAACCUGAGGAAUUUCACACAUUUUUGAGCAGAGACCAGGUGUGCAGUAUCAACACCUUUUUAGUUACAUUUUGACAUGAAUUGUUGGAGAGAACUUGAAUACCAUGGCCAUGAGAUAUGACUUUAGCUAUAGAAUGCAAAAAUAUGCAG